rnacentral:sRNA from 1 species
UUCAUUAACAGAGAAAUGUUUGAUCCGGCAGAAAAGUACAAAAUGGACCACAGGAGGAGAGGAAUUGCUUUAAUCUUCAAUCAUGAGAGGUUCUUUUGGCACUUAACACUGCCAGAAAGGCGGGGCACCUGCGCAGAUAGAGACAAUCUUACCCGCAGGUUUUCAGAUCUAGGAUUUGAAGUGAAAUGCUUUAACGAUCUUAAAGCGGAAGAACUACUGCUCAAAAUUCAUGAGGUGUCAACUGUUAGCCACGCAGAUGCCGAUUGCUUUGUGUGUGUCUUCCUGAGCCAUGGCGAAGGCAACCACAUUUAUGCGUAUGAUGCUAAAAUCGAAAUUCAGACAUUAACUGGCUUGUUCAAAGGAGACAAGUGUCACAGCCUGGUUGGAAAACCCAAGAUAUUUAUCAUUCAGGCAUGUCGGGGAAACCAGCACGAUGUGCCAGUCAUUCCUUUGGAUGUAGUAGAUAAUCAGACAGACAAGUUGGAUACCAACAUAACUGAGGUGGAUGCAGCCUCCGUUUACACUCUGCCUGCUGGAGCUGAC